CAGCGGGAACGUCCCUUCCGCCAUGAGCUUGAGCCUCCCUGCCCACGCUAAGGAGCCAGACAAGUGUCUGGGCUGUACCUUCCGCUCUCUGCGUGUUCAGCUGCUCAGGCCUCCUCGGGAAUGGGAGAGAACCCCGGCUCUGCCCAGCAGCCAAGACUUCUUUUCUCUUUAGCCAGGCUGCCCAAAGGUGAUAGGAGAGUAGACUCAGGACCCAAGCCUCGUCUAGCUCACAAACCUACCCACCUGAGGAAGAUCAGUGACCAGAAGCUGGCCAGACACGGGAAGUCCCCGAAGCUUACCUAAAUAGAGACCCAGCCGGGGGAAACCAAAUGGUGUUCUUGGUGGGGAAGAAGCAAACAGUCCGCACUGCAACACCCGCGUGGUGUCAAGUAACAGUCAGAUUAAACAAACAGCCUCAGCUGCUAUUUUUACAUCCAGAUCAGCCACGAGUAACAGAUCACUUGGGGAGUGAGAAACUGCUUGCCGCUUAGCCGGACCCUAACCACGAUUCCAACUUCAACCCAGAACGAUUGCUAAAGCUAUUCCAGCACCUAGAGUCAAAUAAAAAUAUCCCAAGGUUGGAAGGAAAACAUUUGUUUAGGGAAACAUUAAAAACAGGAGAGUGUGUGCCUUGGAGCCAGCACCCGGAGCCCUGCUGAUGUCCCGGGGCAGAAAUAGCCCGUUUCAUCAUCGGCUCUGGACGACCGCCGCCCGCAUUCCUCGAGUAAGGAGCCGUCCUCUGCUGUGCUUUUGGAGCAGAAUAAUAUGCAGCUGGGGGAAGGCCAGGCUGGGUCUCAGGGUGAGAGUUACAGAAGGAUAUGAAAUAAUCGGGGAAGAGGCAAGAACCUGCCAGGCCAGAAGACUUCUGCAUUUGCGGCUCUAUUCUUGGGCUUCUGCUGUGUUGGAGACAAUCGCUGGAUCACAACAAAGCUAACCUGUCUCCCGGUCUCAUCUCGAGCCAACUGCAGUGCCAGAUGCCCUGACACUUAGUCCUGUCAUCUUCUCGAUGCUGCCUGUGGCUGUCCCCGAACACGGGGAGCACUGGAUGCCACAUCGACUUUAAUUAAGUUCCACGAGGACAUAGAACAGGAAACCAGUAACUCUUCUGCUCACAUUAAUACUACAUAAGGCUUAUCUUCAGAAACGUUUACCUGCUGUGAGCAGAUAUGUCUUCAUGAAAUAUGAAAUCCACCCAAAUUUAUUAAGACUGCCUGUGUAGUAGGUAGUGGGAACUCAAACUGAGCAGCCCUCCGUUAGGGUCUCAUUAUUAUUAUGGCAUUAUUUAUUUAUAUCCUACACUAAGACAGACAUGAUGUAAUCCAGUAAUUAAGAUUGUUAUGAUUGAAUAUUUAUUAAGCACCUACAAUAAGCCAGCCACUGAUUCACAUAAAAUGAGUCUUUACCCUCAAGAGCUCUCAUCUUGCUGCCAAGGGGAGCUCAGCGCCUCGUGGAGAGGACUGAGGGGAAAUUUAAUGGAUUUGUCUUCCCCGAGCAAGCCUGAGAAAUGAAGCUGAUCAGAAAUUGGUCUGAGUUUAGUCUCGCUGUUCAAUUUGAAUGAAAUGAAAACGAUCUAUCGCUGGCUUAGGAGAGGACUGGGUGUGCGGAGGGGCUGUCCCCAAAGUGCCCCAGCCAAAGAUGGAGGCCUCCAAGACACAGGUGGGUGGCAACUGGGUGAAGGUCUGAGCUUUAAAUUUAUCCUCAGGCUAAGAUUGGGCUGCUCUUUUGUACUUCUUAUAAACUUAGCCAUGUUCUGACAUGUUGCGAGCUAACACUUGCUGGGAUCAUACUGUGUGCCAGGGGCUGGGGCUACAGAGGAGAGCCAGGCACAGCCCAGAGCCUCCUGAAACCAGGUCCCCACAGGACGCUCUGCAGCCUCCUUUCUCCCUCUGCAGGCCUCCGGUGCCCCCACAGCCUGUGGCGGCUUCCUUGGCCUCUCCUCUUUCUGGUCUUUCUCUCUAUUUUCUUGCUUCUUCCUCUGCACUGGGCCACUUCUCCUAAAAGGGACCUGUCGGCUACAACCUGCACCCUGCUCCCUCUGUCUUUCCUUGACCUGGCGACACUUUUUUUUUAACUCUACACUAGAGUGAAGAAUAAACAAAUGAAUGAAG